GUCGAACGGAAAGGCCCUGCUUGCAGGGUACUCGAGUGGCGAACGGGUGAGUAACACGUGGGUGAUCUGCCCUGCACUUCGGGAUAAGCCUGGGAAACUGGGUCUAAUACCGGAUAGGAGCCAUUUUUAGUGUGAUGGUUGGAAAGUUUUUUCGGUGUAGGAUGAGCUCGCGGCCUAUCAGCUUGUUGGUGGGGUAAUGGCCUACCAAGGCGGCGACGGGUAGCCGGCCUGAGAGGGUGGACGGCCACAUUGGGACUGAGAUACGGCCCAGACUCCUACGGGAGGCAGCAGUGGGGAAUAUUGCACAAUGGGCGCAAGCCUGAUGCAGCGACGCCGCGUGGGGGAUGACGGCCUUCGGGUUGUAAACUCCUUUCGCUAGGGACGAAGCUUUUUGUGACGGUACCUAGAUAAGAAGCACCGGCUAACUACGUGCCAGCAGCCGCGGUAAUACGUAGGGUGCGAGCGUUGUCCGGAAUUACUGGGCGUAAAGGGCUCGUAGGUGGUUUGUCGCGUCGUCUGUGAAAUUCCGGGGCUUAACUCCGGGCGUGCAGGCGAUACGGGCAUAACUUGAGUACUGUAGGGGUAACUGGAAUUCCUGGUGUAGCGGUGAAAUGCGCAGAUAUCAGGAGGAACACCGAUGGCGAAGGCAGGUUACUGGGCAGUUACUGACGCUGAGGAGCGAAAGCAUGGG
rnacentral:rRNA from 1 species